CUCCUCUUUUAGGAUUGGCUGCCCCUCCGCAUCCAUAAUGUAAUUAAAACAAGGGGGGAAAAAUUAUCAUGGAGGCAGAGGUUAAUGCAAGUGUUCAGCAGAUGCCUUACUGUAAAAUCUGCGUUAAAAAAACCCCAAAAACAAAAAAAACAACCAAACCCAAACAACCAACAACCAAAAAACGACAAUCAAAAAACCAACAAACUCAUUAAAACUUAAAUAUCGGAUAAUCCCCAACCAGCUUGCUGCCUGCCUACGCCUACCUCGACCAGUACUCGCCCGAAUGACUUACGCUCCUGAAAUCAGUUUCAUGCUUGUUUAACUGGUCUGAUCGGAAAGUAACUGAAGAAGCCGAAAAAUGGAGAACCGAGUGUCAUGUACCUCCUCAUACCUGCAGGGAAACGGAACCGUGGCCAAAACGUCGGGUGUAAAUGUGACAACAAAAAAUAAAUAUUUUACAUCACGGCGCAGAACAUAUUUUACUAAGUUAACACUUUGUUUUUCUGCUUUUCAUUUUUUCUUCCCUCGAGGAAGAGGGGAUGCUCCCUUUUUAUUAGAUAUUCUCUAAAAGAUUAUUUUGAUCUCCGUCCAGGUGUGUAUAUCUAUAUCUAUACAUACAUAGACACACAUAUACAACAGAAACGCGGACGAUGAUGUGUGUGCAGGAGCUGGUGCGGUGGCCGGGAGAGGAGCGGGCAGACAUGCCCUAGGUGAGAUCCGAGGGCCCUGCGGGCUGCAGGCAAAAGAGCGAAAGCGAGCCCCGGUUUUCGGAACUAAAGUUGAUUCGUAAAAUCGAGAGCGGGGAGAUUUCAAUACCGUUCAAGUGUCAGCGCUUCGAGGAAGAGUCCUGAAAGAGGACCGCAGCCC